rnacentral:lncRNA from 10 species
CCCAGCUACUCGGGAGGCUGAGGCAGGAGAAUCGCUUGAACCCAGGAGGCAGAGGUUGCACUGAGGCGAAAUCACACCAUUGCACUCCAGCCUGGGUGACAAGAGCAAAACUCCAUCUAAAAAAAAAAAGAAAAAAAAAAAGUAAAAAAAAAAUAUUUACGGCUGGGCGCAGUGGCUCAUGCCUGUAAUCCCCAGCAAUUUGGGAGGCCAAGGCGGGUCGAUCACCUGAGGCCAGGAGUUUGAGAUCAGCCUGGUCAACAUGGUGAAACCCCAUCUCUACUAAAAAUACAAAAAAUUAGCCGGGCAUGGUGGCAGACGCCUGUAAUCCCAGCUACUCAGGAGGCUGAGGCAGGAGAAUUGCUUGAACCUGGGAGGCGGAGGCUGCCGUGCGCCAAGAUCGCGCCAUUGCACUCCUUCCUGAGCAACAAGAAGGAGACUGUUUAAAAAAACAACCAAAAAAAAAAAACAAAAAGAAAAAAAAAUUUAAAAAUGAGGCAGGUAGAUUAGGCUCUCAGUUUUCUUCCAGCUAUAAAAUCGUGAUGUUCUCUAAGAAACAGCAUGAGAAGGACAUAUUUCUGAACCCAAAUCAGCUCUUCAACGGACUUGACUAUUUUGUUCAUCAAUACUACCAUUUUUCUUGUCCCUUGGACUGUCAGAGCCACUUUUGACUUUUCCCAUUUCCCUUCCCUAGGCACACAACACAGAAAGCUGAAGUAGAAUCUACAGCUUAGCAAGAAAUAAUUUGUGAAAAAAUAAAAUGUGCGGCAGCAAGAUAUUCUUCUAUGGUGAUAGGAGAGAU